rnacentral:rRNA from 1 species
GCAAGUCGAGCGAACAGACGAGGAGCUUGCUCCUCUGACGUUAGCGGCGGACGGGUGAGUAACACGUGGAUAACCUACCUAUAAGACUGGGAUAACUUCGGGAAACCGGAGCUAAUACCGGAUAAUAUAUUGAACCGCAUGGUUCAAUAGUGAAAGACGGUUUUGCUGUCACUUAUAGAUGGAUCCGCGCCGCAUUAGCUAGUUGGUAAGGUAACGGCUUACCAAGGCAACGAUGCGUAGCCGACCUGAGAGGGUGAUCGGCCACACUGGAACUGAGACACGGUCCAGACUCCUACGGGAGGCAGCAGUAGGGAAUCUUCCGCAAUGGGCGAAAGCCUGACGGAGCAACGCCGCGUGAGUGAUGAAGGUCUUCGGAUCGUAAAACUCUGUUAUUAGGGAAGAACAAAUGUGUAAGUAACUAUGCACGUCUUGACGGUACCUAAUCAGAAAGCCACGGCUAACUACGUGCCAGCAGCCGCGGUAAUACGUAGGUGGCAAGCGUUAUCCGGAAUUAUUGGGCGUAAAGCGCGCGUAGGCGGUUUUUUAAGUCUGAUGUGAAAGCCCACGGCUCAACCGUGGAGGGUCAUUGGAAACUGGAAAACUUGAGUGCAGAAGAGGAAAGUGGAAUUCCAUGUGUAGCGGUGAAAUGCGCAGAGAUAUGGAGGAACACCAGUGGCGAAGGCGACUUUCUGGUCUGUAACUGACGCUGAUGUGCGAAAGCGUGGGGAUCAAACAGGAUUAGAUACCCUGGUAGUCCACGCCGU